GUGCUCAGUUUGGCAGCACAGCGUAUACUAAUAACAUUGGAAUGAUGCAGAGAGGAUUAGCAUGGCGUCUGCGCAAGGAUGAUGUGCAAAUGCCAUGUGGUUCAUCCAGGCCUU
ensembl:snRNA U6 U6 spliceosomal RNA